rnacentral:rRNA from 1 species
CACGAAUUCGUGUGAGCUAACCCACUUAAACGUUUAUGUGGCAUAAUACUUAUUAAACUUGGGUUAGGGGUGAAAGGCCUCCCAAAAACGACGAUAUCUUGAAGUAAACGAAAUAAAUUGAGUUUGAGGUGAUUACAAAGUUAUAAGAUUUUGUAAGAGGUUAAAUAUUUAUGUUUAGGGGAUGUGGGUAUAAAAACCUACAUAGUGUAAUACUAAUAUAGAGACAGAAGAGUUUAUCUAAGUAGUUUACGGUAACAUAACUGAGGAAAAACCAUAAUGUUAAUAUUAGUAUUAAGAAGAUAUUAAUAGUGAACUCGGCAAUAAAGCUUUCAACUGUUUAUCAAAAACAUAGCCAUAUGUCUCACUUAUGGUGUGUUCUGCUCAAUGAUGUUUAAAUAGCCGCAGUACCCUGACUGUGCAAAGGUAGCAAAAUCAUUUGUCUUUUAAUUGGAGUCGUGUAUGAAUGAAUGCAUGGGGGCUUACUUUACCAUUAAUAUAACGCGAAAUUACUUAAGAGGUGAAAAAACCUUUAUUUAUAUAAUAGACGAGAAGACCCUUGAAAUUUGUUAACUAGUUUUGUUGGGGCAACAUUGUAGAUAAACCUGCAAAAUGGACAUGAAAUUUUUUUGUUUGAUAAAAUUACUCUAGGGAUAACAGCAUAAUUUUUAAAAGUUUGUGACCUCGAUGUUGGAUUAGGGAACUAUAACUUAAAA